UACGGGGGGGGGCAAGCGUUGUUCGGAAUUACUGGGCGUAAAGGGCUCGUAGGCGGCCAACUAAGUCAGACGUGAAAUCCCCUCGGCUUAACCGGGGAACUGCAUCUGAUACUGGAUGGCUUGAGUUCGGGGAGAGGGAUGCGGAAUUCCAGGUGUAGCGGUGAAAUGCGUAGAUAUCUGGAGGAACACCGGUGGCGAAGGCGGCAUCCUGGACCAACACUGACGCUGAGUGAGCGAAAGCCAGGGGAGCAAACGGG
rnacentral:rRNA from 1 species